UUCAUUUUAAAACGGCAACCAUGAGAUUUUUAAUCAAAUAGGUGUAAGACGCUACCAUGUUUCUAGGGCGGAGGAGGACAGUGCUCUCUUAACAUAGUUGGCACCUAACGUGGGUGGAUCUAAGAGUGACACUGCUUCUGGAUUGGCAGCCCAUGCGUUGUGAGUUCUCUUCCUACCGUAUAUCCAGGGGAAAUUUGCAUAUAUUCUUUAGGAGACCUGCCGAAGAUCGUUCACCAACAGCAGUAAUUGUAAUGCAAACCGCCCCCCCACCACCAAAAAAACAAUUGCCCAUUGACAGGUGAUUGAAUAAAUACCAUUGGUUUCUCAGAAAAUCUGAUACCACCAAGAAGCAAAUGAAGUCAUUCAAUAUUGCCUUAUCUACUGCCAAAAGGAUUUGAGGAGCCCUACAGAUGAAAACAUCAGAGGAGACAUCUAAAAAAGCAUCCUGGUGCCUUUUGGCCCUGCUUGCCUCUUCUGUGUCUUCCUGAGGGAACACUGGUGGGGGAGAAGCAAGAGGGCCUGUCACAGACAAGCUCGCCGAGCAGGCCUGUUUCAGAGCCCACCGACUGUGGGUGGCUCUCCACCUGUAGCAGGAGAGCCCACAGGAGGAGUUGCCCCGGAAACUGCUCAGAAUGAAGUAAUUCGUUUACCGUCAUUUCUUUGGGAUGUUUUCUCUAAUGCACCAGAUUGACCUACCAUUCCUCCUCUUUCUCCCCUGCUG
rnacentral:lncRNA from 1 species